AUUGAACGCUGGCGGCAUGCCUUACACAUGCAAGUCGAACGGUAACAGGUCUUCGGAUGCUGACGAGUGGCGCAGGGGUGAGUAAUACAUCGGAACGUGCCUAGUAGUGGGGGAUAACUACUCGAAAGAUCGGCUAAUACCGCAUGAGAUCUACGGAUGAAAGCAGGGGAUCGCAAGACAUGUGCUACUAGGGCGGCCGAUGGCAGAUUAGGUAGUUGGUGGGAUAAAAGCUUACCAAGCCGACGAUCUGUAGCUGGUCUGAGAGGACGAUCAGCCACACUGGGACUGAGACACGGCCAAGACUCCUACGGGAGGCAGCAGUGGGGAAUUUUUGACAAUGGGCGCAAGCCUGAUCCAGCAAUGCCGCGUGCAGGAUGAAGGCCUUCGGGUUGUAAACUGCUUUUGUACGGAACGAAAAGCCCUGGGUUAAUACCCUGGGGUCAUGACGGUACCGUAAGAAUAAGCACCGGCUAACUACGUGCCAGCAGCCGCAGUAAAAC
rnacentral:rRNA from 1 species